rnacentral:rRNA from 1 species
AGCGAACGCUGGCGGCAGGCUUAACACAUGCAAGUCGAACGGGCAUAGCAAUAUGUCAGUGGCAGACGGGUGAGUAACGCGUGGGAACGUACCUUUUGGUUCGGAACAACACAGGGAAACUUGUGCUAAUACCGGAUAAGCCCUUACGGGGAAAGAUUUAUCGCCGAAAGAUCGGCCCGCGUCUGAUUAGCUAGUUGGUGAGGUAAUGGCUCACCAAGGCGACGAUCAGUAGCUGGCUGAGAGGAUGAUCAGCCACAUUGGGACUGAGACACGGCCCAAACUCCUACGGGAGGCAGCAGUGGGGAAUAUUGGACAAUGGGCGAAAGCCUGAUCCAGCCAUGCCGCGUGAGUGAUGAAGGCCCUAAGGGUUGUAAAGCUCUUUUGUGCGGGAAGAUAAUGACGGUACCGCAAGAAUAAGCCCC